rnacentral:rRNA from 1 species
UACGUAGGGUGCAAGCGUUGUCCGGAAUUACUGGGUGUAAAGGGCGUGUAGGCGGGACUGUAAGUCAGAUGUGAAAUUCCAAGGCUUAACCUUGGCGCUGCAUCUGAAACUAUGGUUCUUGAGUGCUGGAGAGGAAAGCGGAAUUCCUAGUGUAGCGGUGAAAUGCGUAGAUAUUAGGAGGAACACCAGUGGCGAAGGCGGCUUUCUGGACAGUAACUGACGCUGAGGCGCGAAAGCGUGGGGAGCAAACAGG